AGCUCCAAUAGCGUAUAUUAAAGUUGUUGCGGUUAAAAAGCUCGUAGUUGGAUUUCUGUAGAAGGUGACCGGUCCCCACUACGUGGGAGUAUCAGGUUUGUCUUCUGCAUCCUCUUGAGUGUCGUAUUUGUGCUUAAUUGCAUGGGUGCGAAGUUCAAGACUUUUACUUGAGGAAAUUAGAGUGUUCACGGCAGGCUCCGCUUGAAUACAUUAGCAUGGAAUAAUAAUAUAGGGUGUAAGUCCUAUUUUGUUGGUUCUGAGGACAUACGCAAUGAUUAAUAGGGACAAUUGGGGGCAUUCGUAUUAACGCGUCAGAGGUGGAAUUCUUAGAUUGCGUUACGACGAACUACUGCGAAAGCAUUUGCCAAGGAUGUUUUCA
rnacentral:rRNA from 1 species